GACGAACGCUGGCGGCGUGCUUAACACAUGCAAGUCGAACGGAAAGGCCCUGCUUUUGUGGGGUGCUCGAGUGGCGAACGGGUGAGUAACACGUGAGUAACCUGCCCUUGACUGUGGGAUAAUUUAAGGAAACUGGGGCUAAUACCGGAUAGGAGCUCCUGAUGCAUGGUGGGGGUUGGAAAGUUUCGGCGGUUGGGGAUGGACUCGCGGCGGAUCAGCUUGUUGGUGGGGUAGUGGCUUACCAAGGCUUUGACGGGUAGCCGGCCUGAGAGGGUGACCGGCCACAUUGGGACUGAGAUACGACCCAGACUCCUACGGGAGGCAGCAGUGGGGAAUAUUGCACAAUGGGCGGAAGCCUGAUGCAGCAACGCCGCGUGCGGGAUGACGGCCUUCGGGUUGUAAACCGCUUUCGCCUGUGACGAAGCGUGAGUGACGGUAAUGGGUAAAUAAGCACCGGCUAACUACGUG
rnacentral:rRNA from 1 species